rnacentral:rRNA from 1 species
AGUGAACGCUGGCGGUAGGCCUAACACAUGCAAGUCGAACGGCAGCACAGGAGAGCUUGCUCUCUGGGUGGCGAGUGGCGGACGGGUGAGGAAUACAUCGGAAUCUACCUUGUCGUGGGGGAUAACGUAGGGAAACUUACGCUAAUACCGCAUACGACCUUCGGGUGAAAGUGGGGGACCGCAAGGCCUCACGCGAUUAGAUGAGCCGAUGUCGGAUUAGCUAGUUGGCGGGGUAAAAGCCCACCAAGGCGACGAUCCGUAGCUGGUCUGAGAGGAUGAUCAGCCACACUGGAACUGAGACACGGUCCAGACUCCGACGGGAGGCAGCAGUGGGGAAUAUUGGACAAUGGGCGCAAGCCUGAUCCAGCCAUACCGCGUGGGUGAAGAAGGCCUUCGGGUUGUAAAGCCCUUUUGUUGGGAAAGAAAUCUUGCCGGUUAAUACCUGGCGAGGAUGACGGUACCCAAAGAAUAAGCACCGGCUAACUUCGUGCCAGCAGCCGCAGUAAGAC